rnacentral:rRNA from 1 species
ACACAUGCAAGUCGAACGGCAGCACAGAAGAGCUUGCUCUUUGGGUGGCGAGUGGCGGACGGGUGAGUAAUGUCUGGGAAACUGCCCGAUGGAGGGGGAUAACUACUGGAAACGGUAGCUAAUACCGCAUAACGUCGCAAGACCAAAGUGGGGGACCUUCGGGCCUCACACCAUCGGAUGUGCCCAGAUGGGAUUAGCUAGUAGGUGGGGUAAUGGCUCACCUAGGCGACGAUCCCUAGCUGGUCUGAGAGGAUGACCAGCCACACUGGAACUGAGACACGGUCCAGACUCCUACGGGAGGCAGCAGUGGGGAAUAUUGCACAAUGGGCGCAAGCCUGAUGCAGCCAUGCCGCGUGUAUGAAGAAGGCCUUCGGGUUGUAAAGUACUUUCAGCGGGGAGGAAGGCGGUGAGGUUAAUAACCUCGCCGAUUGACGUUACCCGCAGAAGAAGCACCGGCUAACUCCGUGCCAGCAGCCGCGGUAAUACGGAGGGUGCAAGCGUUAAUCGGAAUUACUGGGCGUAAAGCGCACGCAGGCGGUCUGUUAAGUCAGAUGUGAAAUCCCCGGGCUUAACCUGGGAACUGCAUUUGAAACUGGCAGGCUUGAGUCUCGUAGAGGGGGGUAGAAUUCCAGGUGUAGCGGUGAAAUGCGUAGAGAUCUGGAGGAAUACCGGUGGCGAAGGCGGCCCCCUGGACGAAGACUGACGCUCAGGUGCGAAAGCGUGGGGAGCAAACAGGAUUAG